rnacentral:lncRNA from 1 species
UCACUUUGUCGUUUACUUCCGGCGAGCGCGACCUUGGUAGAAAACAUGGUUCUAAAUAACGUCAUUUGCCGUUUAACUCCUCAAGUGACCAACACCGUUCUACGUAGGUCAUAUGUAUAUGGACUACCAAAGAAUCGCAUUUCCUUCAUGGAAAAGAGCGUCCUGUUUGGUGGAUUCAUGGUGAUCUUAACUGGGCCAAUGUUCUAUAUCAUGGGCAACUUAAAGAAGUACCAAGGAAAAGUGUGAUUCAGGAUGACCUUAGGAACAUUCUUAAUGUAUUUAAUUGUUUUGUUUUUUAUGAUGAAUAUGGAGUGUCCGGGUAUUUAACAACUCAAAGAUGAUAUUAACAAUUCUUUAUAUUUGGUGUAUUGAUAUUUUUGAUGAUCUGAUGUACAACACAGGGACAGCUUUGUGCAUUACAUAACAACAUCUGGAGAUGAAAACAUGUAGAAAAUAAGACAAUAGACACUAUCUUACAAUUUUGAAAAUUUGUUGUGUUUUUGCUCUAAAAUUAGAAAAAAAUAUGUUUGCAUUUAAACAUUUGUUAAUGAAAAUUUGCUGCUUUUACCUGAAGUUUUAAAGAAAAUUGAUACAAAAAUGAAUUUACUGUAGAACUCCUUGUUUACAUAAUAAAUUUGAGAUAAAUGGUAA